UUUUAUUAAAUCCUUGAGCUGUAAUCGAAAACAACAUUGGUGAUACUCUUCUCUUUAAACAAAUUGUUAUCAUGUGACAUGUGCCAGAUUCACGAUUUCUAUAUGGUAUGCACCCUUUACCUCAAUUUCUAUAUGGUGUGCACCCUAUUUUCAAUUCCAGAUUUUCAUAAUUGAAACCAAUAAUUAAUGUUUUAGAUGAAGAUGUUACUAAAUGAAAUUAAAUAAUUUGUAUUAUUAUUAUUGUGAAGGAAUUCCACCAUUUGAUUCAAUUAAAUUGUUAAAUAUAAGUUUUUAUUAGGGUGACGAGAAACAAGAGAUCUACGAAAUUGGGAUCAAAUUAAGGAAUUGGAUUUGAGUAGGCAAGAAAGACGAUCAAACUAUGAUUGCAGAUUAUUUGGGUAGUUUCUUUGGGAUGAUUCUCAACAAUUCAUAAAAUGAUUGAAUUGGGAAGAGUAAAUUGAAUGAGCUGUUUCGUCUACACGAUGAUCAAUCCGUUUCCGGCGGUGAAAAACUCAGGCCUCUCUUUUGACGUGGUGGAUUUCAGAAGAAAAGGGUAAAGAUAGUGUAAAAAGAAUGAUAAAGUAUCACAUGACAUUGUUUAAUGAAUCAAUUGAAG
rnacentral:lncRNA from 1 species